rnacentral:tRNA from 1 species
GAUUCAGUGGUGUAGUGGUAUCACGGGCGCUUGCCAUUAUCUUUGAUGAUUUGCGCCCGACCCGGGUUCGAUUCCCGGCUGAUUCA